AUUGAACGCUGGCGGCAUGCUUUACACAUGCAAGUCGAACGGUAACAGGCCGCAAGGUGCUGACGAGUGGCGAACGGGUGCGUAAUGCAUCGGAACGUGCCCAGUCGUGGGGGAUAACUACUCGAAAGAGUAGCUAAUACCGCAUACGAUCUAUGGUUGAAAGCGGGGGACCGUAAGACCUCGCGCGAUUGGAGCGGCCGAUGUUAGAUUAGGUAGUUGGUGGGGUAAAGGCUCACCAAGCCAACGAUCUGUAGCUGGUCUGAGAGGACGACCCGCCACACUGGGACUGAGACACGGCCCAGACUCCUACGGGAGGCAGCAGUGGGGAAUUUUGGACAAUGGGCGCAAGCCUGAUCCAGCAAUGCCGCGUGCAGGAAGAAGGCCUUCGGGUUGUAAACUGCUUUUGUACGGAACGAAACGGCUCUGGUUAAUACCCGGGGCUAAUGACGGUACCGUAAGAAUAAGCACCGGCUAACUACGUG
rnacentral:rRNA from 1 species